rnacentral:rRNA from 1 species
GUGUGCGCGCUUCAGGGCCGGUUUCAGCGGGACACUCUGCUUCCUGCUUACUGCUAAAUCCUCCUUCUAGAUAUACGUUUCAGUUUUAUUAUCCGUGAUUCGCUGUAAUAGGGAAUGUAGCCCAUUUCUUCCCCUUCCAUACGCUACACCUCGACCUGACGUUUUGGGAUCUACCAAUUGUGCUUACUAGGGGACCCUCAUGGGGUAAGCUGGCGACGGCGGUAUAUAGGCGGGGAUGACUAGGAAGGGUGAGGUUAAACGGGGGUUAUCGGUUAUAGAACAGGCUCCUCUAGGUGGGUCUAAAGCACCGCCAAGUCCUUUGGGUUUUAAGCUGUUGCUCGUAGUUUCCAGGCGGAUAGUGGUUGUAUAAAUUAUAUGCGAACGGUACGGCGAAG